GAGUGAGUGAGAGAGAUAGAAGGAGAGAGAAAGGAAGCGAGAAGAAAGAAAGGAUUUUGUGAUCAAAAUCGAUCAACCAGGAUCGUUCAGGCGCAGAAGAACGCAGAAGAGAUGCCUUUAAAUGCCAUGUCUAUUGUGGCUGAGAGAAUAUUACAAUAAGAACCAGAAAUGAUAUGGAACGUUUUCAGAAGUCUAUACUACACACCUGUAACGUUUAACCAGUCAAAAAGUUUCGCUACUCAAUAAAGGAGACUCAACAUUUGACGAGAAAUCCUCACUAGUC